GCCACGCCCACACUGUACUUGGCUUCUCCUGCAGAUAUGGCUCUGCCUCCCCUCCUCCACCAGCAAGCUUCCCUUCUCCACCUUCCAUCAGCUGCUUUACCCUCUGCCCUUUGGCUUCUGCCGCCUACCGCUCUGCUGACCUUGCUCUCCCAAAGGGCACCAGUGAUGUCAAUUUCCAGAUCCACCAGCUCAUCCUGGGUCUUCCUCCGCGAUAUUGAACAACACUGCUGACUCCCCUCCUUCCCUCCUUCUGUCUUUCCACCUCUUCAGGCUACUCUAUUGGUUCAACUUCCUUUACCUAAACUUCUGAAAUAUGUCCAGGUUUUGACGUGACUCCUUUCUGGCUUAUCUCACCCACGUUGCUGGCUUCACUGAUUCUCUACUUAGUGGUAACUUCGAAAAGGACAUUUCUUCUUAAACUACACUUGCACGCCCUUCAGUCCUAUACUUUUAACUACAAACUGGACACCUCCACCAGCUCAAGCACAGACAAAAUAAAUACUAAUUCUACCUUUUCUUCAAUGCCCAAGACUCUCCUCUCUCUCCUCUCUUGUAUUACCAUCCACUGAAUCGUCCAACCUGGAAAUACUGGAAUUAACUAAGAAUGAAGAGAGUUCCCAUUCUGAGAGGGGAGAAGAUGCUAUUCACCACGAUCCUAUCUUCCAGAAACAAAGUCCACUGAGGAAAUCAAGUUGUUCUUUUUGGAGAAGCGGCAUUUUGAGAAAACCUGGUUGUUAUUAGAUUUCUUGUGCUACUGUCAUCACUGACACAGUAGACGAAAAAAUGUGUUGUUAUCAUGUGAAGUUUUAAUUUGCAAAAUCUAAAUGACAGUGGAAUGAUUUCAGUGUUUGGGGGACUGCACUCCCAUUUACUGGCGAAGGGUUACACUACUGGUUAUAUUCUCUGUUCUGCACCUGUGCUUACGAGCGGGCUAACUACAGACUGGGAGCCAUGAAAUGUAUCCACUACUGCGCCACACCAGGUGCCUGGGUGAAAUCCCGGUGUGACUAGAAUGUGUAGAUAUCAAAAGAACCCCCGCCCCUCAAACAGCUACAAAAUAUUAGGACCAGGAGGGAUCCUACAGACUCCUCAUCCGACUCACUCGUCUUAUGGUCAAUAUGACAAAGCAGGAAUGAGAACGUGGGUCUCCUCGCCCCCAUUUCUGUGACCUUUCCAUCUGCCUUCACUGUUAGAUGGCUUGGGAAGACUGGCAAGGCCAUGGAAAAGCUGGACAAAGGCAGGGGGAAGGAUGCCCCAAGAUCCUAUAGCCUCUCUCCAGUCUCUGCUACUGAAAAAGACAAAUACCCUUGGGUGCCAACUCCCGUAUGUCUUCAUUUAUUGCAAGAGAAAUAAAUGAAGCAAGGAAAGCAAGGUGGAGGGACUGGCACAAUGGAACUGGGCAGGGGAGGGGAGGAAGGCAACAGGUGACGGGGUAUAGAGUCUGGCCAAACAGACGUCAAUGCGCCAAACUGUAACGACGUACUUGGCCCUAUGCACCACUUCUGAGCCAGACCCUUAACAUUCACCUUAAGCAGACAGGCCAACAUUGCAGUGCUUAGGGCUCUUAGCACUAAUGAUUAGGCCCUGAAAAAUGUGACAUUCAAAGUCAGAAUCCUUCUUGUUAGCGAUGAGAGAAAAAUAAAAUCUAUUCCCAGACUAGGAGAGGCUUCAUGACUUCCGCAAAUCAAGAUGCGGUCUGAGCUCUGUGCCGAGAGUUUAAGAAAGAGAAGGAAAUAGAAGACCUGGAAUAGGUGAGCUUCCUCAGGAAAUACUAAUUGAAUUCGAAUAUCAUUGUUGAGCUCUGCUUAUGAGCUAGACAGAAUCUCAAGUCCCCAGAGACAUGAGGAAGCAUAAGAGGGAGGGUAACACGUUACAAGCUACACAGAAAAGGUACAACACACAAAGACACUUGCUCGGGUGACUGCUAAAGGGACUCUGGUUGAGAAGAGGCUCCAUGAACACAGUGAGGAAUGCACUUGGGGGGCCACCUGAUUUUCUUAUUUCCCAAAGGAAAGCAGGAUACAUGGGAUGGAGAAGCCAUUAGGCUCUGGAAGGAAGGGGUGCUGAGUCUCACACAGUGAGAAGUGUCUCCCUUGUUCUACAGUCAAAGAUGAGCAUAACUCUUUGGUUGCCCUUGUGUGAUUCCCCCACCCACCCCCGGGGCGGGAGGGGGGGGAAUGUCACAGUGGAACUCACAGAGCUUUUCCCCUGAAACAUGAUGGCAUUCACACAGCAAGUAUACUACAAACUGCCUCUGAAAUCCCACUGGGGUGACACAGGCUUUUGAGGUUAAAACCCUAAGCUCCAGUUUUCACAUUGUUUCAGCUGUGCCUUACUUGCCAUUAGAAGCCCAUGCGGGUGCUCAUUUUAUUAUUGCUGGGAUUUAUCUUAUUCUUCUUUAAAAGAUUAUGUUAUUUUCCUCCGCUGGUUCCAUAUUUCUGGUUACACUUUCAGUGAGUCCCCUAAAUUAUUACUCUUUAAGAGAUUUUUCUUUGAAUACUCUCAAUUAUUGAAUCUUUGGCAUGCCUUUAUUGUCCUAAUUCUCGAAUUUAGUCUUUUACUUUUUACCUUAAUGAAGUGUAAGAUCAUGAUGAUUUUGUUCUGAAGAAUCCUUAAAAUCUUUUACCGUUUCAUUAAAUUUUUUAACCUCUU